UGGGGAAUUUUGGACAAUGGGGGAAACCCUGAUCCAGCCAUCCCGCGUGUGCGAUGAAGGCCUUCGGGUUGUAAACCACUUUUGGCAGGAAAGAAACGUCAUGGGUUAAUACCCCGGGAAACUGACGUUACUUGCAGAAUAAGAACCGGCUAACUACGUGCCAGCAGCCGCGGUAAUACGUAGGGUGCAAGCGUUAAUCGGAAUUACUGGGCGUAAAGCGUGCGCAGGCGGUUCGGAAAGAAAGAUGUGAAAUCCCAGAGCUCAACUUUGGAACUGCAUUUUUAACUACCGGGCUAGAGUGUGUCAGAGGGAGGUGGAAUUCCGCGUGUAGCAGUGAAAUGCGUAGAUAUGCGGAGGAACACCGAUGGCGAAGGCAGCCUCCUGGGAUAACACUGACGCUCAUGCACGAAAGCGUGGGGAGCAAACAGG
rnacentral:rRNA from 1 species